CGAACUCUUGGACUCAAGCAAUCCUCUCACCUGAGCCUCCUGGCUAGAUGUGACUACAGUGUGGAUGGGAUCACUGCUCAGCCUUUUGGAUGAAAUCGAGUGAACGUCACAAGGCCCUUGGGUGAGAGGUGCCCUCUCUGUCCCUGGAGGAAGGAACAUCCUUCUCUCUGAAGAUAACGCUGAAUCGAAUCUGAAUGAUACGUCCUGCUGUUCCUCCCAGUUUACUACGCUUAGCUCCUACCCCUUUUUGUCCUCUCACAAUUUUCUGCUUCUCUCCACUUUUCAUCAAACUGUUAAAAAUUAUGGGAGGCCAUUCUUUUGGGCUGAGCUCCUGCACUAGCCCUCAACAGAUCAGACCAAACCAAAAUGGAGUUACUUAUGCUAAAUGCUGUGUCAUCAAACUGAAACUUUAAGGAAGCAGAUAGAUCCCCAAACAGACCAGUUUUUCCUGAAAACAUGAGAUUCCAGUCUACUUGAAUCAGCGGAAGAAGGAAGUCCCCUCUGCUUUAACUAUUACAAAAAAGUAACCGAAGUAGCUUGAUGUUAACCAAUCAGGUUUUUCUAUUCUGUUUCCUUGUUGCUACCUCAUAAAACCUGUGGUUCUGCUAUUGCCC
rnacentral:lncRNA from 10 species